UACAGAGGUGGCAAGCGUUGUUCGGAAUUACUGGGCGUAAAGGGCGCGUAGGCGGCUUGGUCAGUCCCGUGUGAAAUCCCUCGGCUCAACUGAGGAACUGCACGGGAAACUGCCUGGCUUGAGUUCGGGAGAGGGAAGCGGAAUUCCGGGUGUAGCGAUGAAAUGCGUAGAUAUCCGGAGGAACACCGGUGGCGAAGGCGGCUUCCUGGACCGACACUGACGCUGAGGCGCGAAAGCUAGGGGAGCAAACGGG
rnacentral:rRNA from 1 species